CUGGUUGAAAAAAACUUGUCGAAAAUGUCAUAUUUAUUUUUUUGUAACACCGAGAGGUUGGUGUAAGAAUUGAACCAUUGUGGGAGUAGUUAGAAAAAACAGCAAGGCAUGAAAUAAAAUUUGUCUCGCUCAUAUUGACCUCGUCGUAGACGUUUUUCGCCUUCAACAAACUAAAAUACGCGUCAAUCGUCAAACCCCAUAUCAAGUUCCCUGGCCUAAGCGAUAUUAGGUCCUUAUGCUCCAAUCUGUACUCAUUGUCGGGACCUAUAUGAGGAAAUUGACUUAGGUCCACCAUAUCCGAAAACUAAUUCCUACUAAGCCACUCCACCUUCUGUACCUUCAAUGGUUUGAGAGGAUCCCUCUUAAACAUGGACGACCGGUCCACCCGUAGACAAAAAUGAAGAAUAUUACACACCCCAUCCACCCCACUAUAUAUACGCUCAGAAUGUGAUUCAGUAGCUGGCGUUUCUUCGCGUAUUGGAGUCAACUCCAUAGCCUGAAAUUAUCUCAUACUCUCAAAAUCACCCGUAUAACUCGGCUGAUACAUGCAAGGGGGAGGAGGUGUUAAUUGCAUUUUGGAAUCCUUCUCAACUACAAAUGGGAGGUCAGGCCUAUAGGGGG
rnacentral:lncRNA from 1 species